CUUGAGCUGUAGUAGUACAGAUCCUGUCAUAGUCACUAAUAGGAAAAGGACACAGAAACCUGUUUAUAUUCUUGUUUGGCUACCUUAAGAAUACUGCAACUCCGAAGCCUUUGUACAGCCUACUGAGCCAGGUGGCUCUGCAAGACAAUGAUGUGUAAUGGGAUCAAUAGUUUGAACUCUGAUAAUGUUACCAAUCAUUUUGGAUUGUCUUCUAACAUGAAGAUGUCAACAGCUCUUUCUAUGCUCAUCCAUUUCCUAGGAUGUACAAUUAAAAGCCCAAAACAAAAACUAUUUAUGAAAUCAACUGGAUACAAUUAGCCUGAAAAGUGGGUGAAAAUAUUUCAAGUUUGCAGAAAAAGAAAAAUACACCCAUCCAAUGAGUCAAUGGAAGGUACAAUAAAAAAA